GGUAAGGCAAGUGUGGUGUGCUGUUUAUUUAAAUUAAACCCCUCCAAACACCCCCUGGAGAGAGGAGGGAAGCUCAGGAAAACCAAGACCCUUGAAGAACUUCUUCCAGAAGCUCAGAAAGUCACAAGACACUCAAGUCCCCUCUCCAAGGUUGUGUAGCCAAGCGGAGACUCUCAGGUGGAGCUGGCCUACACACUGAGCAGGCUGCUCCAGGGAUACAGGUUUGGAAAUGGGCUUUUUACACUCUUAGUAAGUAAGCCCUAUAGAUUUAUUGUCUUAUCCAACUAGAUGAGGGUGAGAUGAUGUCUAUGUCUUUUGUUAGUGCCUGAUGGGGGUGAACAGGUGUUUGCUCGCUCACGUCUCCACAGGGGAAGCACCAGGCAAGAGAAGGAAAGCUGGUGAUACAUGUAAAGGAGAGGCAGAGGAACUUGGAAGACAGGGACUCGCCCCUUUAAGAAGGACUGCUCCUUGGCUGUUCCCCUGCUCCUGGAGGAGACUGCAACCUUUGCAAGGGCUAAGGCUAGGGUAAUAUCUAUCCACAAUGAGGUAAGACCAGGGAGGGCCCUGGAGCCUAUGAACAAUCAAAUCCAGAGCCCCUAGCAAGGUCCUCAACCCUGGGGCAUCUCUAAUUAAGGGGAUAGGAGCUGUUCUUAUAAUUUUUUUUUUAGUGCCUGGUGCUUCUCAGUUGCUUUCACUCUGUCCGUUGACCCCAGGUCUGUAAAGGCCGUGGAGUCUGUAACUGCCUUGGGGUCUGUAACUGCCCUUAGGUCUGUAACUGCCCUCAGGAUGUGUAACUGCCUUCCUACGGAGUUCUAACUGUUACUUUGUGUCCAGAACCCUGCUGAUCUCGGCUACUCGCCCCCCCACCCCCUCCCUGCCCCCGGCUGUCUGCGAUUUCAAGUCUCCCACCUCAGAUCUCUAGAUGGCUCACUGUCAGUGCCCCUCACUCCACGGCUGCCUCUCCUCUCUCCUGUCUGGGUGAGUCGAAGACCCACAGUUUUAUCGUCUGUCCCCCUGGGAUGACUUCAGCGCUAACUCUAGAUGACCAGUCCUCACCCAAGACCCCCAUAGCAUCCAGAAGCUGGAUGAAGUAAUGGAAUGGGUGAUUCUGGAGAGAGCUCAGUCCAUCCCAGUAUCUUCAACAGAACUGUCUGCUUUGUUGACUGCAUCAGCCUAGUCAAGACUGAUGCCACCAUGGAGAGUGCCAGGGCCUUCAGAGGGUGUGACUUCUCAACUGACAUCCGAGCACAAGGAGCAGCACGUGAGGAGAGAUCCUGCCCUGCCUCCAAGAUCUGCAAACACCUAGAGGCCAGAUGAGAGUUGGAGCUUGUGAGACAGUCCACAGUUUAAUGGGGGGCAGAGGAAGUCCUUCAGAUUGAAUGAGGAAGAGACAUAGAUGGUCUAUCUGGAUAAGGAAAAAAGGAAGAACAUUCUAGAGAAAUGGAUAACUGGCAUAAAGUUUCCUGUUCUCCAGAACCAAGGCCUGCCAGAGAAUAAUGAAUGCAUUUUGGCUGGAGUUUGGGGCCUCCUUCCCUUGUGACCAGCCCUGAGAAGAUACUAGCAGGGCCUAGUUAGGAAACCUCUGCAGAAUUGAGCGAGGCUUACUUCCCUGCUGCUGUCCUGGCUGCAGGAUCUGGAAACACACCCAGAAACAGCUCCUCACCAACAUGCCUGAUCAUGGGCAUGUCUUAUGUCCUUCAGAACCCUACUUUACUCACAUAUCUCCCUGAAAACACAUACUUCAAGAGAACCAAAGAAAGAAAAGAUGGCCCCAAGAGUUCUGGAAUUGACCUUUGGUUACUAAGGGUAUUAUGGCUGGGACCAAGAGACUGCCUAUAAAGUUACAAGAUUCUCCAAUGAAACUUUUUGUGGCCAAGAGCAACUAUUUAGGGUCCCUUAAGGUGCACAGUGUGUUCUCCAUGUGAGGUGACAUCUGUGGAAUCCAUAAAGAGGAUGGAUGCUAAAAGCCUGGUACAUAGUAGGUCCUGUGACUGUGUCUUCUCCCCCUGGAAAAUCAAGGAACAGUUCAGGCAAGUAUAUGAAUGAGCUGGCUGGCGUUGUGGGUCCAUCAUCCACUUCUCUUCUCUUGGGUAAGAGGCCAAAGGAACAUGUCCUGAACAGUAUGGAUGUAGUCAUGCCACAGAAAAACCACUCAGACUUUUGGUGCACACCUCUGUGCAUCUCAAAGACUCAGUACUUGCCUGAUUCACUUUUUCCCCAGCAAAACUCCCUGACAUAGUAACAGCAAAUGCAUACCUUCCCCAGCUGUUGGCUUCAUUAUAGACUGGAGGCCUGACUUAGUAGUCACCUACUGGCCUAAAACCUCAUCUCACCUUACAGGCAAGCUGCUUGGUUCUUGGGCCCUGUUUCUCAUGGGGGCAGGGGAGACUCAUCUGGUGGUCACAGUUGUAGACUCUGAUGCAAAAUGCAGUGACUACCCAUGACAGCUCAGCCUUCAUGCUACUUGGACACUUCCUUCAAUAUGACCUGGUGCUCAACAACUCUGGGUUUAGAGGGUCAGAGUGGACACCCAAUGGCGGGACAAUAGACACCAGGACCUUUCCCAAGGCACACCUCUUUAGUCUCUCAGUCAUCCUUUGAUCUUCAACAAGGAGUGACAUCCGGCAGUUUUGGAGGCUGAUACAAUCAGAAACUUGUCUUCUACCAUGGGCCAGUACUCAGUGAACUCAAUGUGUUCUCAGCUGUGCAGCCCCAGAGAUUAGCCCCUUGGUGUCAGCACAAGGUGUCACCCUGCUCAUUCCAGGAGGUGCUCCUUGACUGCAUGCUGCUCAGGACACUGCACGUUCCUCACCCAGCGGGGCCUUCCAAAAAAAUGAAAACAAAAACAAACAAACAAAAAAAAACCCCUACUGGCUGUCAGCCCCAUGGCCAUCAGAGCUCUACCUGUCUAUAACCUUGUCAGCUGGGUCAAACGGAAGCACCAGGAAUCCCUCUGUGGAGGCUCAGGAUGGGAGGAGGUGCCCCUAAAUGGUGCUGGAGUAAGGAGGCUGUAGAGACAAACACAGAAGAUGGCAGAGCUGCUGAAGCUAUGAUCAGGCAGGAGAAGGAGGGUGAGACAGUGCUCUACAGGAGAAUGGGGAUUCCCUUUGCCCUGCCUGGCACACCUUGCUGUUCCAGCUUUCUCCAGGAGCUGAUUUCCAAGGCAGCAUCCCAUAUUUGCCCUUUAGUACCAGCUGGCCCCCCACUGGGACAAGAUUCUCUCCUCUUGUGGCUGGCCAUGCCCCGCAAUCUCUGCAGAGGAAGUAUGGCCCUGGCCCUGCUAGUUCAAGGCCCCUGGCCCGCCCAGUGCGCUCACCCCCUUUUCCUCAUCUUGGUGACUAGAAUUUCCUCUGGGACUCUCUUGCUCCUGCUUCACCUUGCUUCAUGCCUUUCUGCCCUCCCCCAUCCCCGCUUUCUCUCUUCUGCCUUGUUCCACUUCCCCCUCCCCUUUUUUCUCUUUGCUUCGCAUCUUCCUCCUGGGUAUACAGUUUGUGUACUUCUGCCAGGCUCACCAGGGAUACUGUUGGUGUGGAGGUGGGGACUAGCUGGUAAAGAACCUGAGCUCAGUUCUGUGUGAGCAUUCAGUCAUACGUGUAGAACCUGGAGGGUUGGUACUUUAUAAGGUGGAAGCCAUGUAGACCAUGUCUCUCUCUAGAAAGUGAUGCUUGGGUCACAGUGAACUGAAGGAGGGUGGAGCUGUUAGCUCAACCCUUGCUGUUAGGGGAGGGGGUGUAGGGGUUUGUGCCAUGUUUCUUGUUGGUGUCUGAUGGUCCACAGGAUUUUGAGCACACAGCCUGUGUCCCUUCUGUGGCUCUAAGUCCGUACCAGGUGGAAAUUAGCUCCAGUGUUUAGCAAAGGGAUAAUUGGGUCUGUUCUUCAUUCUUGAAUGAAGAUGAAAAGGAUGCUAUCAGUGAUUGCUAACAUAGACAGGACUUACUCAGCCCUGAGCUAGCCCUACUUAUUUCCCUCUGAUUUUGUCCUUCUGAAUCUAUUUAUCUCAGACCAAACCCCCCUCCCACCUCCACAGACUCUGGUUAUACCUGCUGUCUGUUUCUGGCUCAACUUUCCGAGAUAAGGUGGAUGCUGUGGGACACAUUAAGGUUCGUAUUUUAUAAACAGAUGCAGUCUGUCGAUGGCAGAAUGCAUUAAUCUUGGUGGCCAUGUCUACCAGAUUUCCUGUGGGACUCGGUUCUUUUUUUGUAGCCUCUUCCAUGGGAUAUGUGCUGCUUUUCUUUUAGAUAAGGAGACAGCAAUAUAACAGAAACAAGUGAAGAAUAUACAUCCACACCCACUUCUAGCCCCUUCUGUUGUUUUUGGAGUCUGUGGGUGCAACCUCGGGCUGGUCACUGCUGACGAUAUCAGGCAGGCUGUACCCUGUACAGCCCCUGCUCCUUUCUACAUCUCUUGCAGUUGGUUCUUUCUAGAUGAGAUAGUGAUAGGAAGAGCAGAUUCACCCCUUCCCCUCCUCAUGAGGAAAGGGAGCUUAGAAGGACCUGCAGGGCUUGUGUUUGAAUGGAUCUUCACAAGUUUCCAUGUUUGCUGAUAGAUGUACCCAUCAGACUGUUUUUCUCGAGGUUCAUCAUGAGGCUUCAUCACAGAGAAACAGUCAUGGAUGUCUCAUGUUUGAUGGUCCCCCUUGGACCCAGGAUCUAAAAUGUAUAGGUAUGAAAUGAAGUUUUCCAAGGUUUUUGAUCAGUUUCGUAGACUCAGAUAUAUUUGUGGCUGUGACCAGCUGGUGCAGAUCUAAAGAGGUUGAAGCCUUGUAUGGUGUGGACCUAGUGACCAUAGUGUAAAUCAGAAUGCCAAGGCUCCAUGUGACUAUGGAAAGUUCGUGAUAGCCUCUGUCCUCUGACAUUUCUGGUGCAAAAGAAGAAAGUGUGCCAAUGAUAUCUGGCCAGCGGUGUGGUGACUUUUAUGGCCACCAGGAUGUCUGGAGUUUGUUGUUUCUGUUAACAUCAAAGAACACAUUUCUCGGCUUUUAUGUCUCAGUGAACAAUAUUUAUGUCACAGUGGGCAAUGUUUCUUUCAUGGAGGUACUGAACUGCAGAUGCCACCUGGUGGACAAUGGGCCAUACCUUCUCCUCUCUCAUGCAUCCACAUACCUCUAUGAGGUUGACCAUAUCUCCCCUUGCCAUAAAUUCCAAGAUCAAAUCUCUUGGUUUGUCAAAUAUCUGGAAGAAUUUCACAAUGUUUGGGUUUAGGGCAGCUUCCCUGAUGUCCAUCUCAGCUGUGAUAUCAGAGGCCUUGAUGAUGGCCUUGUCCAAGAUCUUCACAGCUACUCUGAUAUUGGUUGGUACAUGCCAUGAUGCUUACUUAACCUUUGAAAAUGAGCGGUGGGCCAGGGUCAUUAAGGUGUAGUUAACUCUAAGGAUGUCCUCAUCAUAGGGGCUGUUUCCAAGCUCUUCCUGUUUGCUACUUUCACUGAUGGAAAAUGGCACCACUAUGCAAUGCUUAAAAAAAAUUAGAGUAAGUAUAAGAGGGAAGUUUAUGGCCAUAGAUUCCUCCAUCUUAAAAUCCCAUGUACCCCAGAAAACUAAUGAUGCUCUUGAAAGUUGUAGACAGGCAGAGCAGCUGAAACCCCAAAGCAGCAGAUGAAAAAGCAUCUGACUGGGACUGAGUGGGCACUAGAGCAACAGCAGAGAACCAAAGCGGUGGUUAUUUGAAAGGCUCAAGAAAACCGAUGACCCCUCACCUCAACUAACAGACGACACUAAGAAAAUGAAAGACAAAAGUUGGUAUCUCAACAGAUAAAGUGAACACCAGGGGCCAUCCAGAGAGAUGACAAUCCUGAGAGGAACGGGAAAGCUUCCAGACUCGUGCAGCCGACACUACAAGUGAACUAAGAUACCGCCCAUUAUGGUUCCUGUCGCUGACCCCAAGGACUGCAUUAGGUACUUCUCUCAUGCCUGUGACAGAGAAGCCACUUAAAGCUUUACCUUAGGCUUUCAGAGAACAGGCGAGGGAUUGUCCUGGGAGGUGCUGGGAGUUUGGAAAGAUGUGUCGGAAGCAGCUGGUUCCAUGGCUUUUGGAAGCUUCCAUUCCCCCUAGCGCCCCAAUUCUUUCUAAGGUACUGCUUCCCUCCCCAUGGUUCCACUAUCUCCCAGCACUACCAAACAUUCAGUCACAUGACAGGCUGUGAAAUCUUUCCUAGUCAGCCCUUAAGGAGGACAUCUGGACUUUAAUGAAGAGCAGCACAGGCAAUGAAGACAAAGUCUUUGCUUUCCCCUGAGUUAUGCAAGUGGGGAUCGACUCGCUAGAGAGUGGACAUGUAGGUUGCCUCAGUGACUUUUCACUGUUUUUUUACUUUCUAUUCUGUCUUUUAAAUCAUGUAUCUUAAUCCCAUUCAUUUCAUUUCCCUGUCCCUUUGAAUCCACCCUCCGCCCCUGCACCCCUCCCUCCCAAAUAAAACAAAAUUUAAGAGAGAAAAGGAAAAAGGAAAAAAAAAUAAAAAUCUCAUCA